GCCGGUUUAGCUCAGCUGGUAGAGCAACCGCCUUGUAAGCGGUAGGUCGCGAGUUCAAGUCCCGCAACCGGCACCA
rnacentral:tRNA from 31 species